rnacentral:rRNA from 1 species
CUAAGUUUGAUGGCGACCGGCGCACGGGUGAGUAACACGUAUCCAACCUGCCGAUGACUCGGGGAUAGCCUUUCGAAAGAAAGAUUAACACCCGAUGGCAUAGUUCUUCCGCAUGGUGGAACUAUUAAAGAAUUUCGGUCAUCGAUGGGGAUGCGUUCCAUUAGGUUGUUGGCGGGGUAACGGCCCACCAAGCCUUCGAUGGAUAGGGGUUCUGAGAGGAAGGUCCCCCACAUUGGAACUGAGACACGGUCCAAACUCCUACGGGAGGCAGCAUG